CCUACGGGUGGCAGCAGUGAGGAAUAUUGGUCAAUGGACGCAAGUCUGAACCAGCCAUGCCGCGUGCAGGAAGACGGCUCUAUGAGUUGUAAACUGCUUUUGUACGAGGGUAAACGCAGAUACGCGUAUCUGUCUGAAAGUAUCGUACGAAUAAGGAUCGGCUAACUCCGUGCCAGCAGCCGCGGUAAUACGGAGGAUUCAAGCGUUAGCCGGAUUUAUUGGGUUUAAAGGGUGCGUAGGCGGUCGGAUAAGUUAGAGGGGAAAUCCCGAGGCUCAACUUCGGAAUUGCCUCUGAUACUGUUAGGCUAGAGAGUAGUUGCGGUAGGCGGAAUGUAUGGUGUAGCGGUGAAAUGCUUAGAGAUCAUACAGAACACCGAUUGCGAAGGCAGCUUACCAAGCUACGUCUGACGUUGAGGCACGAAAGCGUGGGGAGCAAACAGGAUUAGAUACCCCUGUAGUC
rnacentral:rRNA from 1 species